GAUGAACGCUGGCGGCGUGCCUAAUACAUGCAAGUCGAGCGAACGGACGAGAAGCUUGCUUCUCUGAUGUUAGCGGCGGACGGGUGAGUAACACGUGGAUAACCUACCUAUAAGACUGGGAUAACUUCGUGAAACCGGAGCUAAUACCGGAUAAUAUUUUGAACCGCAUGGUUCAAAGGUGAAAGACGGUCUUGCUGUCACUUAUAGAUGGAUCCGCGCUGCAUUAGCUAGUUGGUAAGGUAACGGCUUACCAAGGCAACGAUGCAUAGCCGACCUGAGAGGGUGAUCGGCCACACUGGAACUGAGACACGGUCCAGACUCCUACGGGAGGCAGCAGUAGGGAAUCUUCCGCAAUGGGCGAAAGCCUGACGGAGCAACGCCGCGUGAGUGAUGAAGGUCUUCGGAUCGUAAAACUCUGUUAUUAGGGAAGAACAUAUGUGUAAGUAACUGUGCACAUCUUGACGGUACCUAAUCAGAAAGCCACGGCUAACUACGUG
rnacentral:rRNA from 1 species